AUGAACGCUGGCGGCGUGCUUAACACAUGCAAGUCGAACGAGCCCGAUCUUCGGAGAGGGUUAGUGGCGGACGGGUGCGUAACACGUAGGUGACCUGCCCCGAAGUGGGGAAUAAUCCCGCGAAAGCGGGACUAAUACCGCAUACGGUCGGCCGUUCAGUCGGUCGACUAAAGCAGCAAUGCGCUUUGGGAUGGGCCUGCGGCGGAUUAGCUAGUUGGUGGGGUAAUGGCCUACCAAGGCGACGAUCCGUAGGGGGCGUGAGAGCGUGACCCCCCACAUUGGCACUGAGACACGGGCCAAACUCCUACGGGAGGCAGCAGUGAGGAAUAUUGCACAAUGGGCGAAAGCCUGAUGCAGCAACGCCGCGUGAGGGACGAAGGCCCUCGGGUCGUAAACCUCUUUUCUGAGAGACGAGACAGGACGGUACCUCAGGAAUAAGUCUCGGCUAACUACGU
rnacentral:rRNA from 1 species